UUCAUUCUGUUACUUUUAAAUCCAUAUUAAAAAUUUAUUUAAAAAUAAAUUCAAAGCUUCAAUAACUUUAUAAAACAUCGCAAAUUUUCAUUAUAUUUACAGUUUGAUUAAAGUAAAAAUAAAUAAAUUCCUCAGGCUGUACAUUCAAUCACAGCCAACACGAAGCAGACAGUCGCAAAUAAAUCAAUACAGAAAAAUGUUUUAUGCCAAUAAUACAUCAUACACACAGGACUCACAUGCCUGUGAGUGUGGCCCCUACUCGGCGCAUAUUUCAAUAUUUGCCGACAAGCAUUUUUUGGCAUACGAAAAAAGCGUUAGGCAAACAGCGAAUAUACAGCAGUCAAGCACACACACACACACACGCACAAUGGCUCACUCACACACUCUCCGCGGGACAGCAUAAUUUGAGUCUAUUUGGCGUGUAGCAUACUUUUCCGCGCUACAGCAAAGACAACAACCUGAAAGCAAUCAAGUGACGCUGAAAACAAAACAAAGCGCGGCCAAAGAGCAAGCGGGACAGCCAUAUAGUCGGGUCGGAGAGGUGAGAGGCGAGAUUUUUGGACAGAGGAAAUGACAGUGUAUGCGUAACCUAUGGAAAGCCGGUAAAUAUUUAUAAUUGGGCGCGACUUUGAAAUCGUUAACAUCAGCAAUUCAACAAUGAAUAAGAAAAUAUUGAUUAUUAUAUAUAUAACAAAAUAUUAUAAAAAAAAAUACAAAUGUAUUGUGUACUAACAAAGGCUGAAAAAAACUAUUUAUAAUAAAAUAUAUAAACUAAAUUUGGCAAAUAAAAA